rnacentral:misc_RNA from 1 species
GAUGAAGAACGCAGCGAAAUGCGAUAAGUAAUGUGAAUUGCAGAAUUCAGUGAAUCAUCGAAUCUUUGAACGCACAUUGCGCCCCUUGGUAUUCCGAGGGGCAUGCCUGUUCGAGCGUCAUUAUAACCCUCAAGCUCAGCUUGGUGUUGGGGCCUGCUGCACUGGCAGCCCUUAAAAUCAGUGGCGGCGCCAUCUGGCUCUAAGCGUAGUAAUUCUUCUCGCUCUGGAGACCCGGUUGUGUGCUUGCCAACAACCCCCAAUUUUUUAAGGUUGACCUCGGAUCAGGUAGGGAUACCCGCUGAACUUAAGCAUAUCAAUAAGCGGAGGA